CCUAUGCUGCAGUGCUUGAGCUCCAGCAAAUAUGUAUAUUUCUUCUUGUGAAAUAUGUGCUGGGUCAUGGCUGCAGGGAAGCAAGCGAUAGCCAUAUGCCAGUCAGGAGGUGAGUUUAAAACUGAUAUGGAUGGUCUACUAUCAUAUAAAGGUGGAGAUGCUCAUGCUUUGGAAAUUGACAACCAAAUGAAUUAUGAAGAUUUCAAGAUGGAGAAAGCUGAGAUGUUUAACUGCAGUAUUGCUACCUAGUCUAUUAAACAUUUCCUCCCCAGAAACAAGAAGACUGUCAUUAAGGGAUGCUUCUCAAAGUGCUGACUGUAACCCCUCCUGCAAUACUUGCCCAUCAGGACAUUGCACAAAUCAACAUGCUUUGUUUCCUACUUCUCUUGGAGCAAAGGUUCUUGUCAUUCUUUACACAAAUAUAUCAACUUUCAAUCUACAUUCCCCUUUUUUCUGCUGAUAAUCCUGAUAUAAGCUACUUGUAAAUACACAUUUGCCCUAAGUACAGUCUGGACCAAGCAUUACAUUAUGUUGUAAAUAUCAGUUUUUUGCAUUCCA